rnacentral:rRNA from 1 species
AUACGUAGGGUGCGAGCGUUAAUCGGAAUUACUGGGCGUAAAGCGUGCGCAGGCGGUGAUGUAAGACAGAUGUGAAAUGCCCGGGCUCAACCUGGGAAUUGCAUCUGUGACUGUAUAGCUAGAGUACGGUAGAGGGGGAUGGAAUUCCGCGUGUAGCAGUGAAAUGCGUAGAUAUGCGGAGGAACACCGAUGGCGAAGGCAAUCCCCUGGGCCUGCACUGACGCUCAUGCACGAAAGCGUGGGGAGCAAACAGGAUUAGAUACCCUGGUAGUCCACGCCCUAAACGAUGUCAACUGGUUGUUGGGGAUUUAUUUUCUCAGUAACGAAGCUAACGCGUGAAGUUGACCGCCUGGGGAGUACGGCCGCAAGGUUAAAACUCAAAUGAAUUGACGGGG